rnacentral:lncRNA from 1 species
GCCAGCAGCUACAGCUCUGAUUCGACCUUUAGCCUGGGAACCUCCAUAUGCCAUGAGUGCAGCCCUAAAAAGCAAAAAAACAAAAAAAACAAACAAAAAAAACAGAUGUUUCUAUGAAGGAAUUGUUCAGGCAUGAUUAACACUUAAGUCAGUACACACUGUGUAGAGCUGAUUACUCUUCAUACUGUGAGUGGUCCUUAUCUAAUUAGUUGAGGGUCUUAAGGGCAAAAACUGAAGCUUCCUAAAAUAGAAGGCAUUCUCCUCAAGACGGCAGCAUAGAAACCUUGCCUGACUUUGCAGACUGCUGCCCUGCUGAUCACACUCCAGAUGUAAUCCCCCCUGAGUUUAGGCUUCAGACUUGCCAACCCCAACAGUCACAUGAGCCAGUUCACAGAAAGCUCAUUUUCUCCUACUAGUUCUUUGGAGAACCCUGACUAAUACAAGUAUGGAAAAUCUACAUUAAAGAAGAGGUAUGAUUGAUAGCUCUCUUGUGGCUCAGCAGGUUAAGGAUCCAGUGUUGUCACUGCUGUAGCUUGGGUGGCAGCUGUGGCACAGUUCUGAUCCCUGGCCAUAGAACUGCCACAUGCCAAAAAUAAAUAAAAUGGUAAAUUAAAAAAAAUAGAUAUGGAGUGUCUGCUGUGGUGGAAUGCCAUUGGCAGCAUCUUAGGAGUGCUGGGAUGCAGGUUCAAUCUGUGGCAUGACACAGUGGGUCAAGGAUCUGGCAUUGCUGAAGCUACUGCUUAGAUCAAGACUAUAGCUUGGAUAUGAUCCCUGGCCCAGGAACUCCAUAUGCCACCGGGCAGCCAAAAAUGAAAGGAAAAGAAGUUACAAUUAUUAUGAUUAUAAGAGAUUUCAGUGGGCUAUAUCACUUUUAUAGUAAUCCUCUGAAGAAAGCACCACCUGCUUAUCAGUUUGCAAAAGUGAUACGUCUUGAAGGAGCCUUGAAAAAUUUAGUACUUCACAAGUCCCCAUGUGGCACAGCAAGUUGAGGAUCUGGCUUUGCCAUAGCUGUGAUGCAGGCUGCAACUGCAGUAGGUUCAGUCCCUGGCCUGGGAAUUUCCACAUGCUAUGGUGCAGCCCUAAAAAAAAAGAAAGAAAACCCAUGUAUAUUCUAUCCAGCUUCAUCUAGUUUACCCAUUUACUUUAUCAUUGUGCCCAUACUGUCUUGCUGUACACAUAUACACUUGAGAGUAAGUUUUUUUUGUUUUUUGUCUUUUAAGGCUGCACCCACAGCAUAUGGAGAUUCCCAGGCCAGGGGUCUAAUUGGAGUUGUAGCUGCCAGCCUACACCACAGCCACAGCCACGCCAGAUUCAAGCUGUCUGUGACCUACACCACAGCCGACAAUGCUGGAUCCUUAACCUGCUGAGCGAGGCCAGGGAUUGAACCCACAACCUCAUAAUUCCUAGUAUGAUUGUUUCCAUUGCACCACUACAGGAGCUCCCAGAGAGUAAGUUAUAUACACUGUUAGUCCUUACUUCUAGAUGUUUCAGUGUGUAUUUCCUAAGAGGAGAUGAUACUCUGUUACUCAUCCGGUACAGUUAUAAACUAAGGUAAAUUUAUUAUUGGUUUAAUACUUAUAUCUAUUCCAUUAUCUGUGUUCUACUUGUACUAAUUCAUUGAACAUUGUCCUUUAAAGCAUUUUUUAAUUCUUUUCCAUUAUGGUUUAUUUCAAGAUAUCAAAUAUAGUUCCCUGUGCUGUACAGUAGGACUUUGUUGUUUAUUUUUUACAGUUAGCUUGCAUCUGCUAAUCCCCAAAUCCUAAUUUAUCCCCCCUACUUUCUCCUUUCAUAACCAUAAGUUUGUUUUCUAUGUCUGCAAGUCUGUUUCUCUUUUAUAAAUAAGUUUGUGUCAUAUUAUACAUUCCACAUAUAAGUGAUAUAUGGUAUUUGCCUUUCUCUUUCUGACUUCACUUAGUAUGAUAAUCUGUAAGUCCAUCCAUGUUGCUGCAAAUGGUAUUAUUUCAUUCCUUUUGUGGCUGAGUAAUAUUCCAUUGUAUAUAUGUACGAUAUCUUUAUUCAUUCAUCUGUAAAUGGACACUUAGGUUGCUUCCAUGUCUUGGCUCUUAUAAACAGAGCUACUGUGAACAUGCGUCUUUUCAAAUUAUAGUUUUCUCUGAUUAUAGGCCCAGAAUUGGGAUUGUUGGGUCAUGUGAUAACUUUAGUUUUCAUUUUUUAAGGAACCUCCAUACUGUUUUCCAUAGUGGCUGCACCAUUUUAUAUUCCCACUAACAAUGUAGGAGGAUCUCUUUUCUCCACACCCUCUCUAGUGUUUACUAUUAUUUAUAGAUUUUUUAAUGUGACAAUUCUGACUGCUGUGAGGUGAUACCUCGUUGUAGUUUUGAUUUGCCUUUCUCUAACAGUGAAGUUGAGCAUCUUUUCAUGUGUCUUUGGCCAUUUGUAUGUCUUUGGAGAAGUGUCUAUUUAGAUCUUCUGCCCAUUUUUUGAUUGUUGUUGUUGCUAUUGAGUUGUAUGAGCCAUUUGUUUAUUUUGGAAAUUAGGCCCUUGCCAGUUGCAUUGUUUGCAAAUAUUGUUUUCCAUUUUGUGGGUUUUUUCAUCUUGUUUAUGGUUUCCUUUGCUAUGCAAAAGCUUAAAGCAAUUUUUUUUUCUUUAAUAUGGGAUCAAGUUCUCAUGUCUUUCUAAUAUGGCUUUUCCACAGCCUUUCUUUGUCUUGUAUGACAUAGGAGCCAUCGUUUUGAUGCAUGAUUUCCAGGAAAAUAGGUUAUUCAGCAAUUGCUAGUUUUAGCACAAAUCAGAGUCAGAUAUAAAUGAAUAUCAGAUGUAGUUUUCCUCCUAGGACCUCAUUAAGAUCACACAGAAUUCUGGAUAUGAAACACAUACCCUAGUAAUGCCCUACUAAAUCACUUAAUAGUCCCGUUGCUCUGUUAACGAUCUCCUCAUCUAGGUUUUCCUUUGCCCUGGUCAGUCAGUGGGUAAGACAGACUUUGUGUCUGAAGUCCUAUAACUAAAAGCUUAUUUUGAAUUAGAGCUGGGUUUGGGAAUUAGAACCGCAUCUGGUUUUCAGGUAAUUAAUUCAUAAGAGGAAACUAAGAUCUAGAGUUUGAAAAAAAUUUCAGUGAGAAGACAUUGAAGUCACCGGGGAUAGGCUUUUCCAAAAUAUGAUCCCUUCAGCUUUAUUUAAUAUAUUUUAUAUUUUAAAAAAACUAAUAUAAUUAGCUUGAUUUAGCCCAUAACAAGCUCUGGCUUCUUUCUUUCUUUUUUAACAAAGGGGAACAUUGGAUUAAAUUACUAUUCAUCUGAAAAUAUUAUUCCAUGGGGAAAAACCCAUUAGAUGCAUAAAGACAGAUAAUGCUAAAUAGUUAAUUGGGAACAGAGGAUCACGUGAUGGAGAAUAGAUGACUAAGAGUUACUGGUUUUGAAAUAAGUUUUUAUGCAGUGUCAUAUAGUCUAGUUAAAAUCACUGUCAUGAUGACUUCUGGUCCAGAAGUGGAAGUCAUAUAGUGCAUCAUGUAACAGCUUCGCUUUGGCUGACUUGCUGUCUUGGCAUGGCUUUUGCUGCAGAUGCGUAUAGAGAUGGUGCAUGUCAUACUUCUAAAAAAUGUCAUCGAAUAACAGACUAGAAACAAUUUAAGGAAACUUCUGAAUUAAUAGAUUUUUUUAAAAAGAUAAUUUAUUUAAAAUUAUGUUCUUGUGACCAGUGAAAAUAACUUUUUCUAAACAGGAAAAAUGCUAAAUUAGAAUUUGAUAGGGAGCUGAGGGGGAAGGGUUAUACAUGUUUAGAUAGUUAACAGCUGAUUACCAGUGAGAAAUCUGCCCCCCCCACCAUAAUAGAUAUUACUUUUAUGAAAAAGAAAGCUGCUUUUUGUUUUGUUUUAUUUGUAAAACUUGGUGAAUAAAAUGAUUGCCCUUUAAAAGAACUGAAUGCCAUUCUCAUUUAGAGACCAAUGAAUUGUGGGGCCUAGUAACCAAGAUCAGGAAGUUAGUAAUAAAGUUUGCUAAGAAAAAUGACUCAUUCACCCAAUUUAGUCAACACACCUUGCUCUGGAAACCCAAGUGGCCUUGGUCCUAAGGAAGAUGUGCCCAUACUAAGUGUAAAACAUCUCUGAUGAAACAAAGGUUUCUAGACACAUUUCUAAAGCGUUUUCCAUUAUUUACCACACAGGAGGUCAGGUGUGAUGCAAAUGAAAGGUAGUUGUUUUGUUUGGAUGAGUCCCCCCCACCACCACCUUGACAAGGACAGAGAUGCUUCUUUCUCAUCACGUGAAGGGAUUAAAUUGUUUCCUUCUGAAUGGGCCUGUACCGGCUCAGUGCAGAAGGAGCCAUGUGCUUGGGGAUGAGUUCUGGCUUUUGCCUUCCAGCUUCUUCAAGUGGUUUUCCACCCCUUAAUGUACCUAAAUGGAAUUUGAAGAGGCUGCUCUCUACUUCCUCCCAGAGAGACAGAUCCUCCGGUGAGUCAUGCAGGCAGGCGCUCCAGCGGCUGGGCGUUUGCUCUUCUAAGCAGACAAGCUUGCAUUGCACCAGCAUCCCGUGUUGCCUACAGCAUCAGCAGUCUCCUCUUGUAUCCCAGACAAGGCUGCCAACUCUGCCUGGUGCCACAGCCCCAAGGAACCAAGGCCCGGGUCUAAGGAUUUUAUAGACUGGGAGGGAAAGGGGAUAACUGAUGCCCAUUUCACAGCAAGAGCAGCAAGGGUGUGUACUGGGGGAAAUGGGUAGCAGUAUGCUGGGUCUGGGCUGAGGAAGACCGGUGGAGACUGUGAUUCAGUCUAGGGUCUGGAGUGCCUGCAGCAGUAUUUUAGGACUUAGGCACUACUUUAAAAAAUCACCAUGGGAGGGUCCCUUGUGGCACAGCGAGUUAAAGAUCCAGCAUUGCCACAGCUGUGGUGCAGGCUGCAACUGUGGCUUGGUUCCAUCCCUGGCCUGGGAACUUCCAGAUGCUGGGGUAGGGGGUGGUGGAGGUUAAAAAAAAAAAAAUCCCCAUGAAUAAUUCGUGAAUAAUUCUUUUCCAUUUCCCUAAGAGAGCUCAGGUAUGAGCAUUAAAUUUUCUUGUCUUUUUUUUUAUUUCUUUUACCCAACUCUUUUUUUUUUUUUUUUAAUUUUUAAAAAGAUUUUUAGGAGUUCCUGUCGUGGCUCAGCGGUUAGCAAACCCAACUAGCAUCCAUGAGGACUCGGCUUUGAUCCCUGGCCUCACUCAGUGGGCUAAGGAUCUCGUGUUGCCAUGAGCUGUGGUGUAGGUUAGAGACACGGCUCAGAUCCUGCGUUGCUGUGGCUGUGGCAUAGGCCGGCAGCUCCAGCUCCGAUUGGAUCCCUAGCCU